rnacentral:miRNA from 1 species
AACCUCACCAACCGGAAGGAAUUCCUUCCGGUUGAUGAGUUCAAUAUUCCUCAUUGACCGGAAGGGAUCCCUUCCGGUUGAUGAGGGAUAUCUUCCUCAUCGACCGGAAGGAAUCCCUUCCGGUUGAUGAGGUU